AUCAAACUUCUCGGGUAGGGAAAUUCUUGGUUCUUUAAUACUAAAAGGGCGUUCCACCAUAGGAGAAGGGACAUAACUUGGUGCAGAUAUUAAAGCACAUCCAAUCAUUUCUAUAUCUUCACUUCUUAUCAAUCUUGUUGCUGUCAUGGACAUGAAAUACAGACUUGAAAUCUAACAAGAAGUUCAAGAAGAAGUGGCAGAACUAGAUUAAACAGAUGAGUACAAGAACAAC
rnacentral:lncRNA from 1 species